UCAAUUUUCCAGGUCAUGGGUCAAAGGUCAAAGUCAAGAAAUAUCUUGGAAGAUUGGAAAAAUUCCUAUCUUCAACAUUGAAGGAAUUUUUAAAAAUUCAUAACUGUGUCAAAAAAGAUCAAAUUUCGUUUAUAUUUGACAGUGUUAUGUGGGAUGGUAU